GUGGGGAAUAUUGGACAAUGGGCGAAAGUCUGAUCCAGCCAUGCCGCGUGUGUGAAGAAGGUCUUCGGAUUGUAAAGCACUUUAAGUUGGGAGGAAGGGUAGUAACCUAAUACGUUGCUACUUUGACGUUACCGACAGAAUAAGCACCGGCUAACUUCGUGCCAGCAGCCGCGGUAAUACGAAGGGUGCAAGCGUUAAUCGGAAUUACUGGGCGUAAAGCGCGCGUAGGUGGUUCAGUAAGUUGGAAGUGAAAUCCCCGGGCUCAACCUGGGAACUGCCUCCAAAACUACAUGACUAGAGUACGGUAGAGGGUAGUGGAAUUUCCUGUGUAGCGGUGAAAUGCGUAGAUAUAGGAAGGAACACCAGUGGCGAAGGCGACUACCUGGACUGAUACUGACACUGAGGUGCGAAAGCGUGGGGAGCAAACAGGAUUAGAUACCCGUGUAGUCC
rnacentral:rRNA from 1 species